rnacentral:rRNA from 1 species
UACGUAGGGGGCUAGCGUUGUCCGGAUUUAUUGGGCGUAAAGCGCGCGCAGGCGGUCCUUUAAGUCUGAUGUGAAAGCCCACGGCUCAACCGUGGAGGGUCAUUGGAAACUGGGGGACUUGAGUGCAGGAGAGAAGAGUGGAAUUCCACGUGUAGCGGUGAAAUGCGUAGAGAUGUGGAGGAACACCAGUGGCGAAGGCGGGUUGCUGGGCCGACACUGACGCUGAUGCGCGAAAGCCAGGGGAGCGAACGGG